ACUACGGGAGGCAGCAGUGAGGAAUCUUGGUCAAUGGACGCAAGUCUGAACCAGCCAUGCCGCGUGCAGGAAGACGGCUCUAUGAGUUGUAAACUGCUUUUGUACGAGGGUAAACGCAGAUACGCGUAUCUGUCUGAAAGUAUCGUACGAAUAAGGAUCGGCUAACUCCGUGCCAGCAGCCGCGGUAAUACGGAGGAUUCAAGCGUUAUCCGGAUUUAUUGGGGUUAAAGGGUGCGUAGGCGGUCGGAUAAGUUAGAGGUGAAAUCCCGAAGCUCAACGUCGGAAUUGCCGCUGAUACUGUGAGGCUAGAGAGUAGGUGCGGUAGGCGGAAUGUAUGGUGUAGCGGUGAAAUGCUUAGAGAUCAGACAGAACACCGAUUGCGAAGGCAGCUUACCAAGCUACUUCUGACGUUGAGGCACGAAAGCGUGGGGAGCAAACAGGAUUAGAUACCCGGGUAGUC
rnacentral:rRNA from 1 species